GAUGAACGCUGGCGGCGUGCCUAAUACAUGCAAGUCGAGCGAACAGACGAGGAGCUUGCUCCUCUGACGUUAGCGGCGGACGGGUGAGUAACACGUGGAUAACCUACCUAUAAGACUGGGAUAACUUCGGGAAACCGGAGCUAAUACCGGAUAAUAUAUUGAACCGCAUGGUUCAAUAGCGAAAGACGGUUUUGCUGUCACUUAUAGAUGGAUCCGCGCCGCAUUAGCUAGUUGGUAAGGUAACGGCUUACCAAGGCAACGAUGCGUAGCCGACCUGAGAGGGUGAUCGGCCACACUGGAACUGAGACACGGUCCAGACUCCUACGGGAGGCAGCAGUAGGGAAUCUUCCGCAAUGGGCGAAAGCCUGACGGAGCAACGCCGCGUGAGUGAUGAAGGUCUUCGGAUCGUAAACUCUGUUAUUAGGGAAGAACAAAUGUGUAAGUAACUAUGCACGUCUUGACGGUACCUAAUCAGAAAGCCACGGCUAACUACGUG
rnacentral:rRNA from 1 species